rnacentral:rRNA from 1 species
GAUGAACGCUGGCGGCGUGCCUAAUACAUGCAAGUCGAGCGAACGGACGAGAAGCUUGCUUCUCUGAUGUUAGCGGCGGACGGGUGAGUAACACGUGGAUAACCUACCUAUAAGACUGGGAUAACUUCGGGAAACCGGAGCUAAUACCGGAUAAUAUUUUGAACCGCAUGGUUCAAAAGUGAAAGACGGUCUUGCUGUCACUUAUAGAUGGAUCCGCGCUGCAUUAGCUAGUUGGUAAGGUAACGGCUUACCAAGGCAACGAUGCAUAGCCGACCUGAGAGGGUGAUCGGCCACACUGGAACUGAGACACGGUCCAGACUCCUACGGGAGGCAGCAGUAGGGGAUCUUCCGCAAUGGGCGAAAGACUGACGGAGCAACGCCGCGUGAGUGAUGAAGGUCUUCGGAUCGUAAAACUCUGUUAUUAGGGAAGAACAUAUGUGUAAGUAACUGUGCACAUCUUGACGGUACCUAAUCAGAAAGCCACGGCUAACUACGUG